CACACCUGCAAACCUUGAAACAUUACGUUCUACAGUUAAUUAAGAUCGACGUUGGAGAAGACAGGUGACCCCAUAGUUAAAGAGUUCUUCAUCUUGCAUGCUCUAUCUAG